AGGGAAUAUUGGUCAAUGGGCGAGAGCCUGAACCAGCCAUGCCGCGUGCAGGAAGACGGCCUUCUGGGUUGUAAACUGCUUUUGUACGGGAGUAAAACGGCCAUGCGUGGCAGAUUGCAAGUACCGUACGAAUAAGCGCCGGCUAACUCCGUGCCAGCAGCCGCGGUAAUACGGAGGGCGCAAGCGUUGUCCGGAUUCAUUGGGUUUAAAGGGUGCGUAGGCGGGCGAUUAAGUCAGUGGUGAAAUCCUCCGGCUCAACCGGAGUCGUGCCAUUGAUACUGGUUGUCUUGAGUACAGAUGAGGUGGGUGGAAGUUACGGUGUAGCGGUGAAAUGCAUAGAUACCGUAAGGAACUCCGAUAGCGAAGGCAGCUCACUAAACUGGAACUGACGCUGAGGCACGAAAGCAUGGGGAUCGAACA
rnacentral:rRNA from 1 species